UACGUAGGGUGCAAGCGUUGUCCGGAAUUAUUGGGCGUAAAGAGCUCGUAGGCGGUUUGUCGCGUCGGCUGUGAAAACCUAGGGCUCAACUCUGGGCUUGCAGCCGAUACGGGCAAACUAGAAUUCGGUAGGGGAGACUGGAAUUCCUGGUGUAGCGGUGAAAUGCGUUGAUAUCAGGAGGAACACCCAUGGCGAAGGCAGCAAACUGGUCAUCAACUGACGCUGAGGCGCGAAAGCGUGGGUAGCAAACAGG
rnacentral:rRNA from 1 species